rnacentral:rRNA from 1 species
GACGAACCGUGCGAACGUUUAUUCGGAUUCACUGGGCUUAAAGGGCUCGUAGGCGGUUUUGUCGCGUCGGGAGUGAAAUCCACUGGCUUAACUGGUGGCUUGCUUUCGAUACGGGCAGACUGGAGGUAUGCAGGGGGAGAACGGAAUUCCUGGUGUAGCGGUGAAAUGCGCAGAUAUCAGGAGGAACACCGGUGGCGAAGGCGGUUCUCUGGGCAUGGUCCUGACGCUGGAGGAGCGAAAGUGUGGGGAGCGAACGG